GGGGGUGCAACGGUUUCGACUGUGUAAAAAGGGAUUCGUAAAAGCAUAUCGCAGGGCUGCGGCUGCGUAAAACGCGGGCAAAAUUCAAAUGCUAAAAAUGAAAACAACACGGUAAGAUACAACAACAAUCUUGCUUUCGCGGCUUAAUUAACGCUGCGGCGUCGCUACGGUCUUUUUCCGUCGGGAUCGAUAGCGGCGUAAUUUAAGGCGGAGCACGGCUUUAAGGGGGUGGUUGCGACUUAAAGCGGAAUAAAGCGACUUACGGCGAAAGCGGGCGGUAUUCGGUCGGCUUUACGCAAGAGAUAAUCGGAAUACUAAGUAUGUAGAAGGCGAAUUUAUUUUUAUGCAACACAUGGGUUCAACUCCCAUCACCUCCACCA
rnacentral:tmRNA from 1 species